UUUGAAUGCCCAGGCAUGCUGUAACCUACAUAACAGCCUCCUGAAGAAUUAUUGGGGCAGAAAAUAAUCAUAGCCCAACCAAUCCUAGCUACCAGAUGUAGCUAUUGUGCUUUUGAAGGAUAAGUGUAACAGUUCCUGGGAGGGUUGUAACACUUAAAACAAGAAGGAAACCUGAACAAGAGAAAUGAUCCUGAACAGAUCUGGGGAGAAGAACAGAGGCCUGGAGAAACAUCUAUUGAGCACGGGGAGAGAAGAGGCAAUGGGCAGGCUGCAUUCCCCUAAGCAACUUGUGAUUUCCAAGGAUACAGCACCACUGUACUGCUGUGCAUUCUCUGUGAACAACUAAGGGCUUUUUGUUGAGGACAAACUCCGUGAUUAUCUGGAGCAUAGGCUUCUCCCGGACAUGAUUUACAUUGCCCAUCCCACAGUACCCCAGCCUUGGAUGUGCAGCACCCAUGUAGGGCCCUGUGCUUUUCUGCUCACUACAUGUCAAGUCCACAGAGAUUUUGUAAGGAUUGAUGAUUUCAUCAUUAUACAAUGUCCUUUCUCAGGAUUCCCUGGUGGUGCGGUGUUUAAGAAUCCGCCUACCAAUGCAGGGGACAUAGGUUCGAUCCCUGGUCCCGGAAGAUUCCACAUGCCAUGGAGCAACUAGCCUGUGAGCCACAACUAUGGAGCCUGCACGCCAGAACUACUGAAGCCUGUGUGCCCUAGAGCCCACGCAACACAACUACUGAGCCCACGUGCUGCAACUACUGAAGCCUGUGCACUCUAGGGCCUGAGUGCUGCAACUACUGAAGCCCAUGAACCUAGAGCCCGUGCUCUGCAACAAGAGAAGCCACCGCAAUGAGAAGCCCAUGCCCCACAAUGAAGAGUAGUCCCCGCUCACCACAACUAGAGAAAGCCCGCAUGCAGCAAUGAAGACCCAAUGCAGCCAAAAAAAAUGUCCUUUCUCUCUAGUGACAAUUUUAUUUCAAAGUCUAUUUUGUCUGAUAUUAGCAUAUGAACUUCAGCUCUCUUGUGAGUACUGUUUCCAUACACUAUAUUUUUACUUUCAAACAAUUUGUGUCAUUAAAACUAAAGUAUCUGUAGACAGCAUUUAGUUGGAUCAUUUUUUAAAAAAUCCAUUCUGCCAAUCUCUGCCUUUUAAUUCGAGAGGUUAAUCCACUUACAUCUAAUGUAAUUAUGGAUAAGGAAGGACUUAUUUGUAGCAUUUGGAUAUUAAUGUUCCAUAUCUUAUGUCUUUUUGGUUUCUCCAUACUUAUUUUAUUUCCUUUUUUAGUAUUAAAUAGAUAUUUUCUAGUGUAUUAUUUUCAUUCCCUUAUCAUUUCUUUUACUAUAUCUUUUAGUCAUUAUCUUACUGGUUGCCUUAGGAUUACAAUUAACAUCUUAAUUUAUAACAAUCUAGUUCAGAGUAACACUGACAUAAUUUCAAUAGUAUACAUUUUGCUUCUAUAUAUCUCCAUUCCUCUCCCAAUCUGUAUGCUUCUAUUGCCACAGAAUACAUCUUUACAUGCUGUGUUCCCAUUAAUGCAGAUUUAUAAUUACUGCGUUUUGCAACUGUCUUUUAAAUCAUAUAGGGAAAAAGGAGUUAUAAGCCAAAAAUACAAUAAUACUGGCUUUUACAUUUACCUAUUUAGUUACCUUUCCUGCUGUUCUUUAUUUCUUCAUGUCGAGUUGAGUUACUGUCUAGCAUCCAUAUAUUUCAAACCAAAGGACUCUCUUUAGCAUUCAUUGAAGGACAGGUCUGCUAGUAAAAAAAAACCCUCAGUUUUUGUAGAUCUGGAAAUGCCUUAAUUUCUUUUUUAUUUUUAUUGUGGUAAAAUAUACAUAAUUUUUUAUCAUUUUAAUCAUUUGUAAGUGGCAUUAAAUAUACAAUGUUUUGUAAACAUCACUACUAAAUCAAUACCCAAAACGUUUUCAUCAUCCCAACCAAACCCCCAUACACAUUAAACAAAAACCUGAGCUUCUAACCCCAUCCCUUGCCCCCAGCCUCUGAUAAUCUCUGUUCUACUUUCUGUCUCUAUGAAUUUGCCUAUUCUAGGCAUGUCAUAAAAGUGAAAGGAUACAAUAUUAUAUUUUCAUCUGUAUCUGGCUUAUUUCACUAAGCAUAAUGUUUUCAAGGUUUACCCAUGGUAUAUCCUAUAUCAAAAUGUAAUUCCUUUUUAUGACAGAAUGAUAUUCCAUUGUAUGAAUAUACCACAUAUAGUUUAUCCAUUCACCUGUUGAUUGACACUUCGGUUGUUUCCACCUUUUGGUUAUUGUGAAUAAUGCUGCUAUGAAACUUGUUACAAAUAUCUGAGUUCCUGUUUUGAGUUCUUUCGGAUAUAAACCUAGGAGUGGAAUUGCUGUGUCAUUUGGUAGUUCUAUAUUGAACCUUUUGAAAAAUUGUCAAACUGUUUUUCAUAGCAAUUACACCUUUUUACAUUCCCACCAGAAAUGCACAAGGAUUCUCUCAGCAAAAUGUUUUAUAAUUUUUGGUGUACUAGCCUUUUGCCUAAAUUUAUUACUGAGAAUUUAAUUCAUAAAUUAAUUAAAUUAAUUGUUUUUACAGGUCCCACUCAGGAAGGAAUGCAUUAAACACAUUCACAUUUCCAUUCUUUUUUUAAAGCAAAUGACAAAGACCCAGCUUACCAGCUUUACUUUUUUAAACCUAAGCUUAUAAUUACAUGUUUAAACAAUUGUCAAAAUGUACUAAGUUGCCAGCAUUCAUGCACAAGUAGAAAACAUCCUCAAUUUAUAUUAAAUCAAAAGUGUGUUACCAUUAAUGUCUUUCACUAUUAAAUACUGAAAAAAAUUGAAUUUGUGUAUGUGUG